rnacentral:lncRNA from 1 species
GGAUUUCCUGGUCUGGCCUCUGAGAACCUCCUAGCACCCCAGAACUCCCAGACAGAAUGUUAGGUAAUGCCAAUGAGCACAGAUCAAUCAUCUGCACAAUCUGAAGACGGAGCACUUUCCAUGGAGUGCUGAUGAAGUGCCAGGGUCCUAGGCUCCUUCUGGUGUGCCACCCCUCGGACAAGUCUCUCAGCCUCAAGGUCCAGGAUGGCAACAUCUGUCCAAACAGCAAGAUGGAGAACAGGACAGGAUAGGAACGAAGUAGGAGAGGGGCCAAGGACUCAUGCUGGCAUCCCGCCAGCCUUUUGACACGAGUCACCCUUCCGCCACUUUAUAAAAAAAGAAAUGAAAGCUGAAAACUCGUUAUUCAGUGGGCCCCCGACACCCGCAGACUCAGCUCCAUGUGUUUCUUACUUCUGGCUGGUCAGUGCCUCCGUUCGUGUGGAGCUGCUAUGGAAGCAGGAGCUUGGGAGAGCCAGAGUGACACCAUUUUACACUCAACUCCAUCUUUUUGUUUUGUUUUGUUUUUUAAUUUAGAGAUAGGGUCUCCCCGUGUUGCCCGGCUGGUCUCAAC